GACGAACGCUGGCGGCGUGCUUAAUACAUGCAAGUCGAACGGAAAGGCCCGGCUUUUGCGGGGUUCUCGAGUGGCGAACGGGUGAGUAACACGUGAGUAACCUGUCCUUGACUUUGGGAUAACUUCAGGAAACUGGGGCUAAUAUCGGAUAGGAUCUCCUGCUGCAUGUGGGGGGAUGGAAAGUUUCGGCGGUUGGGGAUGGACUCGCGGGUUAUCAGCUUGAUUGUGGGGUAGGUGCUUACCAAGGCUUUGAAGGGUAGCCGGCCUGAGAGGGUGACCAGCCACAUUGGGACUGAGAUACGGACCAGACUCCUACGGGAGGCAGCGGUGGGGAAUAUUGCACAGUGGGCGGAAGCCUGAUGCAGCAACGCCGCGUGCGGGAAGACGUCCUUCGAGUUGUAAACCGCUUUCGCCUGUGACGAAGAGUGAGUGACGGUAAUGAGUAAAGAAGCACCGGCUAACUACGUG
rnacentral:rRNA from 1 species